ACAAACAGAACAAUGAGAACCAGAUUCCCUUGAAGCACAGCAUUUGCGAAUCAAGCUGAGAAAAGUGAGCACCACCUGGGUGUUUUAUUGGUACUGAGCUGCUAAAUCGGCUUAUUAUGCAGAGCUAUUAUCGCCGGGAGUUGAGGAAAUUUCACAGUGUUGGCAAAGGACACAUCUCCCGAACUCCUGGGUGAAAAGUCAUGGGUCCAACCCAUCCAUCCACCAUGGUUUCUUCCAUACGCUGAGUUCUUUGCUCUUCACACGGCUCAUCAUAAUUACUAUGGCCACUUGAGGUCGCCGCCUAACAAUCAACGUAAACAUGGGUCGUAAUAAGCUGCUUUCACGGGCGAUCAAUACAGCCGAUUUUCUGGUGAGGACUGGGACACAUUUGCAUAACUGAAACUCCAAGUUGCUACACAGUUGCUACAGUGUAAGUAAUGGUUUCUGGCUGGGCUGUCUGUUCUUGCUGGAGACAUUCACUUACCACCAUUCAAAUCUCUGGCCAAGCUUUUGUGUGUGACACCAAACCCUGAAAGUAGCUGCUAUUCAGCACAACCAGCGCAUGUCUUUUCAAAUCUGGACUCCCCUCAAUGUGAAUUACGCCUGACCUGGCAACCCUGCACUUCCCUCACAUCUCACCCUCUCUCCCUCUCCUCAUUAGCACUAACCCUAUUCCAGGUCAAUACGUAUGGCACAGAGAGAACACACACUACACACACUUACCCUCUCACACAUUUUCUAUCCCAUUCUUUCUCUCCCUCGAAGUCACACACACUCACUCUGUCUUUUUGUGAGUCUCUCUUUGUCUUGCUUGCUUUAUCCCCGUCUCUCCCACACACACACACACACACACACACACACACACACUGCUGAUCAGGGCAGCCGAGCAGGCAGGAGUCUGACCUCAUUAGGAACUACGGCAGCCAGCCAGGGGAGGGUCUGUCGAUGAAUGACCAAGAAAAAGUGUUGAGGGAGGAGGAUGGACUGAUCAGAGCACCAGGAGGAGAUCUAAUAGUUCCUCCCCUGUUGGAUGCUUUCAUAUGCAGUCAAGAUUUUAUAAAUAGUACUCCCCUAAAUAUUUGAAGGAUAAUUUAUCAAUGUCCCCCCUCAGGAUCAUCAGGUCAAAAUUUAGUUUGUGACCAAAUUCCAGAAAAACGAUUGAUAUUCCCAUUAGCCUCAAAUGUACUUUGUGUUUAAUGCUAAUGAGCAAAUGUUAGCGUGCUAACAUGCUAAACUAAGAUGGUGCAUAUGGUAAACAUUAUACCUGCAAAACAUCAGCGUGUUUGCAUUAUCAUUGUGAGCAUGUUGACAUACAUACAGUGUCACAAAGGCAUUAGCAUGGCUGCAGACUAAACGGUCAUCAACACCAAGAACAGUAACUGUAACAAUAAUGAUGCCGAUGUGAGUAUCUGAUGAAUGAUAACGUUCGUACACACAAGCUGCACAAUCCAGCUGCACCAGCAGCUUAAUAGUCAAGUGUACAUACAUUGAUAAAUGUAGAAGACUAUCAAAAUGUAAAAAUUAGAAAUCUUUGCUGCAGCAUGAAAAAUACAGAUAAAGCAAUACAAACAAUAAAAGAGCAAUAAAAAGUUAAUGCAAAAUGUAACUCUGUAGAGUAAGUAGACAAUUUUGUAUUAAGUGCUAGAUUAUCAUACUGUAGAUGAUGGACUGUGUUUGUGUUUAACCAUGAAACCUUUUGAAAAUAUGCUACAUUUUCAAUGCAACAGACUGCACAAUCCAAUGCCUUUUCUCCUUUUCUGUCAGACAGUAGCUUCCAUCCAUCAUGUCACUCUUUCCGUGGCUUUCAACAGGCAUGCGUUUGCAUUAGCGGCCUGUGAAAAAUCUUGUUUCCUCCUCUCUUCCCCACAUUUGCCAUUUACAGUUUGCAAGUAACUGGAUGGAAAGAGAGUACAGUCAAUCAUACACAGGCAAAUUCCUACUCCGUCUUCUGGAUUUAUGACAAAAGUUAACCUCAGCUGUGUGGCUGCUCUAUAUUCAACAGAUAUUUUACAGGUAGUCUUCUAAAUAAAUGGUACAGUUAUGGAGUCCGGGGAGCCGACGUGCUGCCAAACCUCGCAAAUGAUAGAUUGCUUCUAGACUACAAGGAUGUAUAGGCUUUCCGCUGCUGUCAGAAUAUGUCCAGCUGAAUGCAUUACCAAACCUUAUGCUGGAAUCACUCAAAUCCUUACCAAGGUCCACAGACAGAUUAACAUAUAAAUGAAACUACAGGCAAGAUCCUGGCCUUCAUUUCCUAUCUGUUUACGCCAAUGAUGUGCGGUCAGAGAGCUUUGGAGGAGGACAGCAAGAUGUCUCUUGGAAUGGAAGUCAGGCCUCUGUAUCAUUGGUAGUAGAGAACAUUGUAGUAAAACUGAAGGAUGCUCCAAAUGAGUAGCCUGAAAAUGUUUUUACUCUGCAGGAGUGGCUAUAUAGUAUUUUAAACUGCUAUACAAAUAAAUGUGUUUCUUAAUUGUUAUUUCUUGUUUUUCCCAAGUCCAGCAGAAGAACAUAUUUUGUAGAUUUUACUGAGUUACUAGAAAUACCUCUGAGCUUUUCUUGAGAGAAAACAAACCUAUAAUUACUACACUGCAUAACUUUAUCAAAUAGCUUGAGGAUUAAUUCCUUAAAAAACUUUCUAAGCUGAAAUUGUUGGCGGUGUUUUAUUAAACUGAGUUUUGGCAUUCAAGAUAUAAUGCAAGUGAGGGAGAUGAAUGCACACUGUCUCCAUAAAAGUCUCAUGUAAGUAAUUUAAUCAGUUGUUAAAUAUUAAAAUCUAUAUCUCUUCUUUAUGGAGAGAAGAAUGUGUAUUUUCCAAAUGGAUUUUCUUUAGGCAAAGAAAAAUGACUUCACCUUACGGGUACAUUUUAUUUUAAUAAAGUAUUAAUAUAACACACUAAUAUAUAAAAAAAAGACUUUAUGGCUUCAUAAUCAAUGAAAUGAAUGGACACACUCUAUAGUGCAAAUCAACUCUAAUCAGUUUACCUCAACAGCAGCGUCUGAACUCAACAAUGUUUUAUUCCUCAACCAAAGAUGACUCUUUAACCGGUGCACUGCUAAGCCUUGCUAAACCCUGCGUUUGUUGUAGCCCUCAAACAUGCAGUGCAGUAAACAAUCAGCAUAUCCAACAAAAUCUCUGUAUAAUUGCAUGUUACACUAAAAGAGCCACUGCUAUUUUCAUCAGUACGCUUGUUUAAGUAAACAGUGUUUACUAGAACAACAGUGUCAUGUUAUGUGUGAAGUAAAAUAGGGGGUAUCUGACUGACAGUUAAUUUAAUUCAAAAUGAGGGACACCUUAUUUGCCAACAGUAAUAAGUAUACAUCUUUCUGUCUUGGCUGCUGUAGGCCAGAAUGUCACAUAGAAACACAAUAAGUACUCGGCAGAGUUGACGGACUGUGUGACAGUGAAACGCACAUGACAAACAGCAGACUUUAAGCUACAUCUUUGGAAGAAAAUUUAAGUGUGCUUAAUAGCAGGUGCAAACAGGUUCAAAUGACUUAAAAUGAAGAUCCCCUCCAAAUGUGUAUUAAGUCAUACAAAUAGUUUCCUUGGAAUGAUAAUGUGUGUGAUAUGUUUUGUUUUUUUCCUGAAAAAAAAGAAGUAUAAUUUACACAUUCAUCUUCUACCUCAUUAAAACCUCCAGAAUCUCUGAAUAUGCAAAUGUUCUUUAUUUCUAAAGUUUUCCUGCUGGACACAAGAUGUCUCCUACUUCACUGUUUAGUCCAUUCACAGUAGAUGUGCACUGGUGGCUUCAAGUUUCUACAUCACACAGUACAAGUUGCAAAUUAGACCAGGGUGGACUUCCAAACGGUUUGUGAUGUCGCAAAUCAUGCUCAUAGGCCCUGGCCAGGAAACUUUCCACUUUCAACAGAUGAAUGUGAAAACAUUUUUCUAGUGUCAAACUCUGCACAGACAUCAUUCUGCACAGUGAAGCUCAAACAUAGGAACAAGAAGAAAAGUAUAAUUCCAGCAACAAAAAAAACUCUUGAAAAAAAUGUUGAGUGGAGGGGGGCUUUAAACGUUAACAUUAGAGUUACUGUAUGGGAGUUGCAGUUUAAGCACCUAAAGCAGCUGGAAGUGUCAGCUGACAAUGUAGCACUGAAAGGGUUUGAAGUGUCUGUUAAAGUGUAAAAGCUGAAAUCAGUUGAAGCGUACUUAAAGCAGUUGAGGUGUCAGUAUACGUUAAAAGACUGACAGGGUUUGAAGCACCUCUAGCAGUUGAAAUCAGCUGAAGCAUUUGAAAUGUUCCUUUUCAGUUUACAUUUAAGUGCUAAAAGUAGUUGAGCUGACAGUUAACUGUUAGCUGAAAUGUCAGUUGAUGUCUAAGCCAUGAAGGCAGUUGAAAUGUCAGUUGAAAUAACCCCCAAAGCUGAUAUGUGUUUUUACUGGUGAACUGACCUGUAUGUUUACAUUUCCUGACAAGCAACCUCUCCUGGUGCUGCAAAUAAUCACGGUACUUCGGGCGUACAAAGGCAGAAAGAGCAUGAUGCACUUCAAGCUGAUGCAAAAAAAAAAAAGUCUCCAGGAGUUUUGGGUGGAUGAAUGGGUUUCAAAGCAUGUCACCACAGUUUAUAUGCCCCAUCUUCUACCAACAGUCAACUUUGAUUUUAUUUCUAACCACAAAGGUUUCCAGUAUGACCACUGUACUACAUUAAACAAGUAUAGUUCUAAGCUGGUGAUACUUCAUGAAAUGUUAGCCUAAAUGAAUCCACCCCCCCCCCAGUCAUAUUAAUACUCACAUUCCUCGAGGCACUGGCCGAGGAGGUGGAGUGGCAGCCAUAUUUGAUUCGAGCGUUUUAAUGGACCCUAAACCUAAACUAAAUUAUAAUUCAUUUGAAAGCCUUGUUCUUAGUCUUUCUCACCCAAACUGGAAAACACUGCAGCCAGUUCUAUUUGUUAUAGUGUACCGUGCUCCUGGACCGUACUCUGAUUUUAUAUCUGAGUUUCUAUCAAGUUUAGUCCUUAAAUCAGAUAAAGUAAUUAUUGUAGGUGAUUUUAAUAUUCAUGUGGAUGUUGACAAUGACAGCCUUAGUAAUGCAUUUAUAUCAUUAAUAGACUCAAUUGGCUUCUGUCAGAGUGUAAAUUAACCAACUCAUUGUUUUAACUGUCUCUCGCUCUCUCUCUCUCUGCCUCUCUCUCUCUCUCUCUCUCUCACCCCAACUGGUCGAGACAGACGACCACCCACCUAGAGCCGGAGGAUCUGUCCUAGGUUUCUGCCUUUUAACAGGCAGUUUUUCCUUGCCCUUGUCGCCAAGUGCUUGCUCAUGGUGGUACUGUUGGGUCUCUGUAAUUAAUGUUAAAGAGUUCGGUCUAGACCUGCUCUAUUUGAAAAGUGUCCUGAGAUAACUUCUGUUAUGAAUUGGCGCUAUACAAAUAAAAUUGAAUUGAAUUGAA